rnacentral:rRNA from 1 species
AACGAACGCUGGCGGCGUGGCUAAGACAUGCAAGUCGAACGGACCAUUAAUUUAUUAGUGGUUAGUGGCGAAAGGGUUAGUAAUGGAUAGGUAACGUACCUUGUACUUCAGGAUAGUGUCAGUUACUUCGGUAACUUUCCGAAAGGGGCAGUAAUACUGAAUGAUAUCAUAAAUCGAUAGUUUUAUGAUCAAAGAUUUAUCGGUGCAAGAGCGGCCUAUCUCCUAUCAGCUAGUUGGUGAGGUAAAGGCUCACCAAGGCGUAGACGGGUAGCGGGACUGAGAGGUUGGCCCGCAACAUCGGGACUGAGACACUGCCCGGACCUCCACGGAGGGCUGCAGUAACGAAUAUUGCGCAAUGAGCGA